rnacentral:rRNA from 1 species
GCUUGCUCCCUGAUGUUAGCGGCGGACGGGUGAAUAACACGUGGGUAACCUGCCUGUAAGACUGGGAUAACUCCGGGAAACCGGGGCUAAUACCGGAUGCUUGUUUGAACCGCAUGGUUCAAACAUAAAAGGUGGCUUCGGCUACCACUUACAGAUGGACCCGCGGCGCAUUAGCUAGUUGGUGAGGUAAUGGCUCACCAAGGCGACGAUGCGUAGCCGACCUGAGAGGGUGAUCGGCCACACUGGGACUGAGACACGGCCCAGACUCCUACGGGAGGCAGCAGUAGGGAAUCUUCCGCAAUGGACGAAAGUCUGACGGAGCAACGCCGCGUGAGUGAUGAAGGUUUUCGGAUCGUAAAGCUCUGUUGUUAGGGAAGAACAAGUACCGUUCGAAUAGGGCGGUACCUUGACGGUACCUAACCAGAAAGCCACGGCUAACUACGUGCCAGCAGCCGCGGUAAUACGUAGGUGGCAAGCGUUGUCCGGAAUUAUUGGGCGUAAAGGGCUCGCAGGCGGUUUCUUAAGUCUGAUGUGAAAGCCCCCGGCUCAACCGGGGAGGGUCAUUGGAAACUGGGGAACUUGAGUGCAGAAGAGGAGAGUGGAAUUCCACGUGUAGCGGUGAAAUGCGUAGAGAUGUGGAGGAACACCAGUGGCGAAGGCGACUCUCUGGUCUGUAACUGACGCUGAGGAGCGAAAGCGUGGGGAGCGAACAGGAUUAGAUACCCUGGUAGUCCACGCCGUAAACGAUGAGUGCUAAGUGUUAGGGGGUUUCCGCCCCUUAGUGCUGCAGCUAACGCAUUAAGCACUCCGCCUGGGGAGUACGGUCGCAAGACUGAAACUCAAAGGAAUUGACGGGGGCCCGCACAAGCGGUGGAACAUGUGGUUUAAUUCGAAGCAACGCGAAGAACCUUACCAGGUCUUGACAUCCUCUGACAAUCCUAGAGAUAGGACGUCCCCUUCGGGGGCAGAGUGACAGGUGGUGCAUGGUUGUCGUCAGCUCGUGUCGUGAGAUGUUGGGUUAAGUCCCGCAACGAGCGCAACCCUUGAUCUUAGUUGCCAGCAUUCAGUUGGGCACUCUAAGGUGACUGCCGGUGACAAACCGGAGGAAGGUGGGGAUGACGUCAAAUCAUCAUGCCCCUUAUGACCUGGGCUACACACGUGCUACAAUGGACAGAACAAAGGGCAGCGAAACCGCGAGGUUAAGCCAAUCCCACAAAUCUGUUCUCAGUUCGGAUCGCAGUCUGCAACUCGACUGCGUGAAGCUGGAAUCGCUAGUAAUCGCGGAUCAGCAUGCCGCGGUGAAUACGUUCCCGGGCCUUGUACACACCGCCCGUCACACCACGAGAGUUUGUAACACCCGAAGUCGGUGAGGUAACCUUUUAGGAGCCAGCCGC